rnacentral:lncRNA from 1 species
GGCAUGUAUGCAUGUCUGUUUAUGUAUCUGCAUGUGUGUAUAUGUGUUUAUGUAUAUGCAGGCGUGUAUGCAUGUCUGUGUAAAUGCAUGUGUGUACUGUGUUUAUGUAUAUGCACGUGUGUAUGCAUGUUUGCACGUGUGUUUGCAUAUGCACAUGUGUGUAUGCUUGUCUGUGUGCAUGCAUGUCUGUGUGGUGUGUGAUGUGUGUUGGGUCAGAGCCAGACACAGGACUGGGGAUGCACUGACAUUGGUGCCUGGCCUGUCUUCAGAAAGGCUCAUGGCGGGAGGAGCAGAUUUGAGAACUCUGGUUGACGGCAACCUGGGCUUGGUAGAGGUUCCAGCAACCGCUGACAUUGCCACAAACCCCUGCCUCAGCCACGAAAAGCCCACUGAAGUGACCCGAAAGGAACCCCAGAGAGCUCCUCUGGGCACGGGCUGCAGCUUGGGGUCAGCCUUUGGGGGGGGGGCUGCCGGGGGCACACUGGGCCUGCCCCCUGCAGCUGCAGGCUGUGGUCGGGGAGUGCACGGGGGCAGCGGCCGCACUUCCGUGCAGUCUCCUCUGCUUCUCUGUUCUCCCUCACCUGGGUGCCCUUGGCGGAGAGCAGGUUCAAGCCUCAGUUAUCCUGUCUGGGGGUGUGGUCAUUGCCUUCGAACGCUCGCGUUUUCCGUGUUCUGUCAUGAGCUGAGCAGGCAGGAGCUGCAGCUGCCCCGUGGCAAGUUUGCUGGCGACAGGCAGCUGGUUAGGGGUCCUGGGUCCACUUGCUUUUCAGGAUUCUUUUCCUUGGGGGGAUUAUACGUUGUCAUAAAUGCCAUGGCCCGUGGACAGACCGGGUGCUGUUUCACAGUGUGGGUCCGGCUAAGGGCAGAGACAGGAGCAGCCCUCUUCCCACCCCUGCACCCCUGCACCCCUCGUUGUGGCGACACGGAGCAGAGGUCAUUCCAGCGAAAGGCCCCAGAUCUCACGGACACAGCCUCCUUCCCUUUGAAAUGGAUCACCGGGAGAAGCCGAGUUCCACUCUCCCUCCCGUUCCUGACUCUCCCUUGCGCGUGGCCAUCAGCACUGUUGUUAGAUGGUCUUUAUGUGGCGGCUGGGAGUGCUUUUAGUUUUUGAAAGCAUGGCAAGCUUUGAGGAGUCCAUUUGAACUCUGCAGAAACACGGAGUGGUUUUAAAAUCGCAAUAAUUGCAAAAGGUGACAUUUCCAUUUGACUUUGGGGGAACAACCAUCCAUUUCAAACACAGGAAAAAAAAAUACCACCGGAUUUUCAAGAGAAAGAGAGGGGAGAUAAUAAUAUUUUUCCAGUGGUAUUUGAAGAGUCAUUAGGAUAGGUGUGAGGAGGACUGUUCUCUGUGAAAUUACUUCGAGGAAGCUUUGGGAGUGCUCUCCCAGCCCAGCCUUGGAGAGGGGGCUUGGGGUGCAAGGUGGGGACCAUGGGGACCUUGCACUGUCUUCUUGGUUCCUGGCGCGUUGCCCAGGGCACUUGCUAAAUCAUUC